rnacentral:tRNA from 1 species
AGUUUUUUAGUAUAUCUAGUAUAAUUAAUUUCCAAUUAAUAGGACCUAAAACUA